UACGAAGGGGGCUAGCGUUGCUCGGAAUCACUGGGCGUAAAGGGUGCGUAGGUGGGUUUUUAAGUCAGGGGUGAAAUCCUGGAGCUCAACUCCAGAACUGCCUUUGAUACUGAAGAUCUUGAGUCCGGGAGAGGUGAGUGGAACUGCGAGUGUAGAGGUGAAAUUCGUAGAUACUCGCAAGAACACCAGUGGCGAAGGCGGCUCACUGGCCCGGUACUGACGCUGAGGCACGAAAGCGUGGGGAGCAAACAGG
rnacentral:rRNA from 1 species